CCGUUGGUCGCUGAACGGUGAGGCAACAAGCUCAAACCUUGUUGUCCGUUGCCGGUUCGAUUCCGGCAUCGACCCA
rnacentral:tRNA from 1 species